UUUUUUGGAGAGUUCCACGCAGCCAUGUUGAAUUUGAUAAUGAUGUUGUACGGGAGGAAGGGGCGAAAGAGAGUUACUCGAAAAGGAGAAGCAUGAUAAACUUUGGAUGGAAUUUAUGUUUUAACAGAAGAUGAAGACAUUUACGAUCCUGUUUAGCGUUGCAGUGUGGACUGUGCCUGAGAUGAUUCCCCAUAACGCCGGCUAUGUAGACAGCUUGUGAAAAUGGAAUCCAAAUGCUCACAAGAAAUGACAAAAGCAGUAUGAAGAUUAACACAACGAAAUUGUGCCAGAAAAGUUUGAAGUAGCUAUGGGAAUGAUCAACAUUGAACUUGCUGAGGCUCUCUUCCUGAAAGUGACUUGACCAGAUAUUUGGCUACCCAGUAUGAGUAUCUUUCUGCUACAUUAAAUAAAAUAUCGUGGAGGAACACGAAGAAAAGGGCUGCGCACCUCAACAUAUUCAAGGUCAAGCAGCUUUUUACCAUAUCCAUAGUAUCUUGCUGCUAAAUGAAAGAAUUAGUGUGGAGGAGCAGAGAAAAGGGCACCUCAACAUGUUCAAGGUCAAGCAGAAAUUAGGAGCUAGGGGUGCUUCUCCAGAGCUGAAAACUUCUUGGCAUGAAGACAAGAAGAAGCAAGAAAAAGCAGUUUUAAAUAUUGAUUACAUCUUCAUAGUACAAAAAAUGAUUCUAAAGAUAAUACUAUCUAUGAAAUUAGAAAGCUGAAGUUGCGUUCUGAUGAAUGUGAGAAUGU